UGAGGUUGUUUUGUUUUGUUUUGUUUUGUUUUUUUGAGACAGAGUCUCACUCUGUUGCCCAAACUGGAGUGCAGUGGCAUGAUCUUGGCUCACCUCCACCUCCUGGGUUCAAGCAAUUCUCCUGCCUCAGCCUCCUGAGUAGCUGGGAUUGCAGGCUAAUUUUUGUAUUUUUAGUAGAGGCAGGGUUUCAUCAUGUUGGUCAGGCUGGUCGCCAACUCCUGAUCUCAUGAUCUCAUGAUCCACCCGCCUCGGCCUCCCAAAGUGCUGGGAUUACAGGUGUGAGCUACCACACCUGGCCAAGGGAAUUCGGUCAUUUUUAGUGAGGAAGAAUGAGAGCAGCUUGACAGAACCAAGCUGCACAUUGGAAAGUAGUGGGAGACAUUGGACUGAAUGAGAUGGGAAUCCAGCUACCAAGGACAAGGACAGCCCCUCAAGAAUUUUGACUUGACUUUGAGAUCUCAAGUGAGAAAAACCACACAAAGGUAACUCUGCUGGCAUUUUACACAAUGAUUACGCACAUUUUUCUAAUAACUUGCUGGAAAUAGAAUGAGCAUUGCAGCACCAUCGGACAGGUGCCUUACUCAUUGGAGAUGUCUGGACAGUGCUGUGAUCAUCCUCGCCAGCUGCAGCAAUAGCACCCUGGGUCCUGCAGCCAGAAAGAAGGAUCUGAUCAUCACCUCGUCCUCAUGCUGUGCUGAGGAGCCUUGGUGCACAACUAUUGGCUCGUUUUGGGCAGGACAGCAGCCUAUCAAAAUGCCAGACUUCUCGGCAUUUCGUGUCAUUUCCUGUGGAUUAACCCAAUAUCAAUGUCAAGCUUCUUGAAGACAGAAAUGAUGCCAUUUCCUAGCAUUUCCCAAUGCCUCG
rnacentral:lncRNA from 10 species